rnacentral:rRNA from 1 species
GAUGAACGCUAGCGAUAGGCUUAACACAUGCGAGUCGAGGGGCAGCAUGGUCUUAGCUUGCUAAGACUGAUGGCGACCGGCGCACGGGUGCGUAACGCGUAUGCAACUUGCCUCACAGAGUGGGAUAACCCGUCGAAAGACGGACUAAUACCGCGUACACUUGGGAUAGGGCAUCCUGACCCAAGGAAAUGAAAUUCGCUGUGAGAUAGGCAUGCGUCCCAUUAGCUAGUUGGUGAGGUAACGGCUCACCAAGGCGACGAUGGGUAGGGGAACUGAGAGGUUGAACCCCCACACUGGUACUGAGACACGGACCAGACUCCUACGGGAGGCAGCAGUGAGGAAUAUUGGUCAAUGGGCGAGAGCCUGAACCAGCCAAGUCGCGUGAAGGAUGACUGUCUUAUGGAUUGUAAACUUCUUUUAUACGGGAAUAACAAGAGCCACGUGUGGCUCCCUGCAUGUACCGUAUGAAUAAGCAUCGGCUAACUCCGUG